rnacentral:rRNA from 1 species
GUUAGGAAUAUUGGACAAUGGGCGAAAGCCUGAUCCAGCCAUGCCGCGUGAACGAUGAAGGCCUUCGGGUUGUAAAGUUCUUUAGCCGAUGAUUAUAAUGACUGUAGUCGGAAAAUAAGCCCCGGCUAACUUCGUGCCAGCAGCCGCGGUAAUACGAAGGGGGCGAGCGUUAUUCGGAAUCACUGGGCGUAAAGCGUGCGUAGGCGGUUUUGUAAGUUAGGAGUGAAAGCCCAGGGCUCAACCUUGGAAUUGCUCUUAAAACUGCAAGGCUCGAAUAUCGGAGAGGAUAGCGGAAUUUCCAGUGUAGCAGUGAAAUGCGUAGAUAUUGGAAGGAACACCAGUGGCGUAAGCGGCUAUCUGGACGAGUAUUGACGCUGAGGCACGAAAGCGUGGGGAUCAAACAGGAUUAGAUACCCCUGUAGUCC